AAAACUGCUGUGUCACUGGCUUGUGGUGUCAGUUCACACGUAACACAGACUAACCAGGUAGCUACUGCAGAGCUGCACGUCAGGACCCACUGACACAGAAGAAAUUGAAGUGGAGAGAUGCUGUGAUGGAUAAUCUCUGGAGUGCGCAACCUUGUCAACUGGAUAGCAUCAUCCUGCUGCUCCUGUGGGAAGGACAAGGCGUCGUCGUCCUCAUGAGGGUACCUGAGAAAAGAUGGGAAUGUGUUUACGGUCUGUAAUGGCGUGGUACCACGCUGUCAGAAGCCUUCAAAAUUCCACCCAGUAGAAAACCCUUAACCCUUUACCUCUGAGCUGCCCUGCGCUUGUUUUAAUGACGACCUGUCUGAAAACUCCUCGUUGGGAAGUUGGAUAAUGUCUGACAAGCUGGCAAGUGUAGCAGUGGCUCAAAUUUAUUCACUGAUACUCUAAAAAUGUAAAGUGUUCAACACUUCCUACUGAAUGAAAUAAAAUUAUUAAAUGGC